GGGCUUGUAGCUCAGUGGAUAGAGCACGUGGCUACGAACCACGGAGUCGGGGGUUCGACUCCCUCCUGGCCCG
rnacentral:tRNA from 1 species